GUAGGUGGCAAGCGUUGUCCGGAAUUAUUGGGCGUAAAGCGCGCGCAGGCGGUUCUUUAAGUCUGAUGUGAAAGCCCACGGGCUCAACCGUGGAGGGUCAUUGGAAACUGGAGAACUUGAGUACAGAAGAGGAAAGCGGAAUUCCACGUGUAGCGGUGAAAUGCGUAGAGAUGUGGAGGAACACCAGUGGCGAAGGCGGCUUUCUGGUCUGUAACUGACGCUGAGGCGCGAAAGCGUGGGGAGCAAACAGGAUUAGAUACCCUGGUAGUCCACGCCGUAAACGAUGAGUGCUAAGUGUCAGGGGGUUUCCGCCCCUUAGUGCUGCAGCUAACGCAUUAAGCACUCCGCCUGGGGAGUACGACCGCAAGGUUG
rnacentral:rRNA from 1 species